UACGUAGGGGGGCAAGCGUUGUCCGGAAUCAUUGGGCGUAAAGAGCGUGUAGGCGGCUCGAUAAGUCUGCUGUGAAAGUCCAGGGCUCAACCCUGGAAGGCCGGUGGAAACUGUCGGGCUAGAGUCCGGAAGAGGCGAGUGGAAUUCCCGGUGUAGCGGUGGAAUGCGCAGAUAUCAGGAGGAACACCAAUAGCGAAGGCAGCUCGCUGGGGACGUUACUGACACUGAGGCGCGAAAGCCCAGGGGGAGCGAACGGG
rnacentral:rRNA from 1 species